GACGAACGCUGGCGGCGUGCUUAACACAUGCAAGUCGAACGGAAAGGCCCUGCUUUUGUGGGGUGCUCGAGUGGCGAACGGGUGAGUAACACGUGAGUAACCUGCCCUUGACUUUGGGAUAACUUCAGGAAACUGGGGCUAAUACCGGAUAGGAGCUCCUGCUGCAUGGUGGGGGUUGGAAAGUUUCGGCGGUUGGGGAUGGACUCGCGGCUUAUCAGCUUGUUGGUGGGGUAGUGGCUUACCAAGGCUUUGACGGGUAGCCGGCCUGAGAGGGUGACCGGGCGGAUUGGGCAGGGGCCAGCGAGAAGAUCGGUGGGGGGGACGGGAUGGGGGGAUAGGGAAGAGUGGCGGGAAGGGUGAGGCAGCGACGGGGGGUGGGGGGGGGCGGCCUGCGGUUGAGAAGGCGCUUGCGCGGGUGGCGGGAGGUGAGUGAGGGAAGUGGGAAAAAAAGCAGCGGAAAACAAGGCGGCAGAGGCGGAGGUAAUGAUGGGAAGAGCACGUGGCUGAAC
rnacentral:rRNA from 1 species